CAAAUCUGCUUGUUGAUAACUUGGAUUUCUGUGUGUGGAAUUUACAGAUCUCCUGUUUAUCUGUAAUUGUAGGGUGGAGGGGAAAACAACAUUAAUCACUCCAGGACGACAUUUAAUUGGAUCGUCGGGGCACUUGGGACUUGAACCAGCCUCCAAAGGAGCAUCAGGGAUAGGACAGGAAACUAUCUCUCCUCACCAGAACAGUUUUUGGGUGUGACAGACAGGACGUGUAAUGACCUAAUCAGUCGCCGCAGGAGCAGUUUUCUCCAUCAUCAGGCUCACGGAAAACAUGUUUUUGUGAGAAGCACCUGAGGCACUGUCAUUUGAGUGAGCUAAAAGUGAAGCAGCAGUUUGCCUCAUCAUCAGACCCCUUCAGAAACUGGCGCAGCAAAGUUUAGGGCCAACAUUUCAAGCAGGUAAGACUUAGUGAGUGAAUGGGAUACAAUGACAAUUUGAUUGUCAUUUCUUGAUUGGUUUAAAAAAGUUUGAGGAAAUUGCAUGCAUUUAGAAUCAACUGUCAACUAGUGGUGGUUGAUUAGCAGUGUUUCCGGUGUAACUCACUCCUCUGUUAUUACUGGAUAGUGUACACAUUUGAAAAAGAACAAAACUUUUAAAUAAUAUUUAUAGAAACUAGAAAUUGUUAAGAUUUAAUU